CAAGCCAGAUGAGUGUGCGAACAACAUCUGCUUGUGAGCCGCUUAUGGGACGUCCAUAAAAGUCAGGUUGAGGUAUUUCUUCGAUUGUUGAUACUUGACAAGAAGAUGUAAUGAGAGGAAGACAAGCAGGUGCAUUGUCAGGAGUUCUGAUCACAUCUCUCGAGUUCAAGCGACCGUCUGGAGCCUGGCAGGAACGUCGGCGGUGGUAUUCUGGAUUCCACAUUUGAAAAAGAAUGGAAGCAACCGAGACUGAAGGAAGCCUCUGGAAGGAAGGCUGAGGAGACCCAUGCUCCUGAUCCUGCACAGUGGAAGGAAGGACAUGGGGGUGGGGGUCUGAUGGAUGAGAGGCUCCCCACUUCCCCCCUGGGGACAUUCACUUCCAGGAGAGGGUACUGGGGCAUCAGGUCACAGAGCAGAGUAUCCAGUGUUCACUCUCCCUCCUGGUGCACGUGUGUCAGACUAAACUGAUGCUGACUUCUAAAAGACCCUGUGGACCGAAGCUGGGAAAACUCUCAUUUAAAAAUUGUAAGCAGCUGCAGUCUAGAAAAGGGGUAUUCUUCACAUUCAUUAGAUGAGGACACAGAAGACAGCAGUAGGGACCACAAGGCACCCUGAGGCCUCUGUGGGGCAUCCUGAGGCCACGUGACUCCUGCCCUGUCCAUGGGUCUUAAGUGGCAGUUCUAGAAUGGGUGUUUAGGCAGAAACUCAGUCUGCGACAUUCUUAUUUUGGGGGCUAAAAUAGCCUUCCUGUUAUGAAUAAUGACGCUACUAUACGGUAAUUGGUUCUUAAAACAACGUGAAGUAUCAACUCCCCCACACACUCUUUUUCUAGUGGUCUCUGAAACACACAAGAAUGGGAAGCCCUGGAGCUCCACACUAAACCUGGGGACGCAUCACAGACACAUCAC
rnacentral:lncRNA from 1 species